rnacentral:misc_RNA from 1 species
GAUGAAGAACGCAGUGAAAUGCGAUAAGUAAUGUGAAUUGCAGAAUUCAGUGAAUCAUCGAAUCUUUGAACGCACCUUGCGCUCCUUGGUAUUCCGAGGAGCAUGCCUGUUUGAGUGUCAUUAAAUUCUCAACCUCACCAGUUUUGUAACGAGACAGGUGAAGGCUUGGAUGUGGGGGUUUUGCAGGCUGCCUCAGUGCUGGUCUGCUCUCCUGAAAUGCAUUAGCGAGCUCAUAUUGAGCUUCCGUCUAUUGGUGUGAUAAUUAUCUACGCCGUGGAUUGGACUCAUGCUUGCUUCUAGCCGUCCGCAAGGACAAUUUACUUGACCAAUUUGACCUCAAAUCAGGUAGGACUACCCGCUGAACUUAAGCAUAUCAAUAAGCGGAGGA